rnacentral:lncRNA from 1 species
AACACUCACUGGGGUAAGACAGGGCUGAGUCCCGGACCCAAUUUUAUUACUGAGCAGACUCGGGCAGGGUAUCUUCCUCUCCAUGCCUCAUUUUCCUCUUACUGUGACCUCAUACAAAGGCUGCGAGGACUGGGCAUUCACUCAUUCAAAAAGGACUUACUGGGCACUCAUUCUACAAUGGCACAUACUCUAAAGAUGAGCAGCCCGAGGAAUGAGGGGUGGAAAGAGAAGAAAUAA